UACAGAGGGGGCAAGCGUUGUUCGGAAUUACUGGGCGUAAAGGGCGCGUAGGCGGCCUGUUAAGUCGAACGUGAAAUCCCCGGGCUCAACCCGGGAACUGCGUCCGAUACUGGCAGGCUUGAAUCCGGGAGAGGGAUGCGGAAUUCCAGGUGUAGCGGUGAAAUGCGUAGAUAUCAGGAGGAACACCGGUGGCGAAGGCGGUUCUCUGGGCCGAUGACUGACGCUGAGGAGCGAAAGCGUGGGGAGCGAACAGG
rnacentral:rRNA from 1 species